CAGCACCUCAAGUGGUCAGGAUGAUUAUUGGGCCUAAGCAUCCGUAGCCGGCGCUGUAAGUUUUCGGUUAAAUCUGUACGCUCAACGUACAGGCUGCCGGGAAUACUGCAGCGCUAGGGAGUGGGAGAGGUAGACGGUACUCGGUAGGAAGGGGUAAAAUCCUUUGAUCUAUUGAUGACCACCUGUGGCGAAGGCGGUCUACCAGAACACGUCCGACGGUGAGGGAUGAAAGCUGGGGGAGCAAACCGGAUUAGAGACCCGAGUAGUCC
rnacentral:rRNA from 1 species